rnacentral:lncRNA from 1 species
GGGCCUUGGGCCUUGGGGAACUUGGGCCAUGGUCUUUCUUUAAUUUUUUUGCAUUAAAUAGUAAUUACGAUAUAAUUACUAAUUAAAGUAAUUCAAAAAGGAUAAGAUAUGACUUAAUUACAUAUAAUAAACUAAAGAAGUAGGUCAAGAAACUAAUUUUAUAUUAUGAAAAUUUUUUAAAACAAAAAAAGGGAGAAAAUUCCAGGAAAAGAGUAUAGCCGCGCG